rnacentral:sRNA from 1 species
GGUCAAUGAGUAGUAGUGAACAUUCAAGUUUUUUUUUUUUUCCACUUCAAGUUUUUCAUCUUAUUAUUAUUUUUCGUUGUGAUGCAGUAGUACGGCCCAUCUUCACCAGUAGUAUAUCAAAGCCGAAACAGAUGACAAAUUGUUUAACAUGCACUUGGAUUAUUAUUGAGAGUUGAAAUACAAAGGCCCGUUACAAGCCCAAACGAAGGUACAUAAAAGAAAAGCAGAAAAUGAAAACGAAAUCGAUAGGGAUAAGUUUUUCCAACUGACGGAAACACAAACUACACCAGGUGAAAUAGAUCACCUCCCAAGUGCAUGAGACACGAACCAACCACUUAUCAUCAGAUCACAAAAAGCUUAGAAGCUUCCACCACGAAGACGAAGAACCAAGUGAAGAGUCGACUCCUUCUGGAUGUUGUAAUCUGCAAGUGUGCGACCAUCCUCAAGCUGUUUUCCAGCGAAGAUGAGUCUCUGUUGGUCUGGUGGGAUCCCUUCCUUGUCCUGAAUCUUAGCCUUGACAUUAUCGAUGGUGUCUGAGCUUUCAACCUCCAGAGUAAUGGUCUUUCCGGUAAGGGUCUUCACAAAGAUCUGCAUACCACCACGGAGACGAAGCACAAGAUGAAGUGUCGACUCCUUUUGGAUGUUGUAAUCUGCAAGGGUGCGUCCAUCUUCGAGCUGCUUACCGGCAAAGAUAAGCCUCUGCUGAUCCGGAGGAAUUCCCUCUUUAUCUUGGAUCUUAGCUUUGACAUUGUCAAUGGUGUCUGAACUCUCAACCUCAAGGGUGAUUGUUUUACCAGUGAGGGUCUUGACAAAGAUUUGCAUACCACCUCUGAGACGAAGCACCAAAUGAAGGGUCGACUCCUUUUGAAUGUUGUAGUCAGCAAGAGUUCUUCCGUCUUCAAGCUGCUUACCGGCAAAGAUAAGUCUCUGCUGAUCCGGAGGGAUUCCUUCCUUGUCCUGGAUCUUUGCUUUGACGUUGUCAAUAGUGUCAGAGCUCUCAACCUCCAAAGUAAUGGUCUUGCCAGUCAGAGUCUUGACAAAGAUUUGCAUACCACCUCUUAAACGGAGAACCAAAUGAAGGGUUGAUUCUUUCUGAAUGUUGUAAUCGGCCAAGGUACGGCCAUCUUCUAGCUGUUUACCGGCGAAUAUUAAUCUUUGCUGAUCCGGAGGAAUGCCUUCCUUGUCCUGAAUCUUUGCCUUAACAUUGUCGAUGGUGUCAGAGCUCUCAACCUCGAGAGUGAUAGUCUUGCCAGUGAGUGUUUUCACGAAGAUUUGCAUCUGAAAUAAAACAAUAGAACAAGUAGAAACCAAUCAGCGAACAUAUACCAAAUCAAAAGCCGUAAGAGAAAUCAAAACAACACCAAAGAGAAACGGAUCUAAACAUAAGAAACCUAAAACAGAGAGAAUCGAACAAAGAAAACACAAAAA